UCUUCGAGCAGCAUCUCCGCUGAGUUUUGCUCCGUUUCAGAAUAUGCGUCGGAGGACAACUGCGCAUCAUGGCGCUAAAACACACGGGAUGCUUUUGAAAAGGAGAUUUUGGCUUUUAUCGUAAAGCUAAAGCUUGUUUCAUUCGGAGAGAAGUUAGGCUGGCGGUGUCUUUUUACGCCGUGCACGCUCCCAGCUCGGAAUUUUAACCAGGAACCACCAGGCGAGAAUUUUCCUCCACCGCUGGACAGGUACUGCAGCAUUUCGCAAACCUGCAUCGAUGGAACCUGCAUUUAUGGAAAUCCUGCAUCGAGUCUACAAAUCGCCGUCAUUUAUCCAAACGCAUUUUACUCUUUUCCUGCCUUUGUUUCUCGCUCUAGUUGUGUUAGAUGAGUAACUUUCGAUGAGCCUUUAAAAGAAGAGAGUUCUUGAAGACUGAUAAGAGGGGAUUUGGGAUUAUUGUGAAUAUCUGUCCUUUCUGGAGUUAUUUUCGCGCAUCAGGAGCAGCUUGUUAUGAAGCCGGGACAAUAAACCUUGAAAAAGAAGCGAUGAUGGUAACGCCAUCUAUCGGCAGUCACGUUCAUAGUUUCUCUCUACCUGCCAAGCCAAGACUGCGGGAAAAGACAUCACAUAAGGAGUCAUAGGAGGCACACAGAUGUGAAAUAUAGCAGAAAACAUGACCCAAGCAAUGUGUGGAUGAACACAUAUAACAAUGGAAUCGGUCAUCCUGCCGGUGAAUGUAAUAUAUGUGCCUUGAGUCUAAAAUCUUCUUGAAGAUUUCAAGAUGAGAAGAGCUUCAUAAUCAGAAAGAUUUUAAUUGAAGGAAGCAAUUUAACUAAAGAAGGACUUUGAGCCAAAGUAAGAGAAGGGAAAACUGGAAGUUUACAAUUUUUUAUUCAUGACUUUACGAUCCUGUUGAGCUGCCUGAGCUAACCUGAUCUCCUUAUAGAUCCAGAAAAGAGAAAAUUUUAGCAAUACAGACAUCUUACUCUUUGAUGAUUAGGUUAUAAUUACACGCUUCUUUAUCAGCUAUUGUGUUAUGAAAAUAUACUCAUACAAGCGAAGGAUCUUUCAUUAAUUUGCGAUUAAUAUGAAUGGGAGAAUUGAUUCAUCUCAUUGACACGAAUCAGUUCUUGCGAAAAGAUUUCUUGGAUUAUGCGUUCUUUCUCAAAUGAUUAUCGAUGGAACUUAAUUUACUCUUGCCUGGGCAGUUUACCAUUUUAACUGGAAAGAUACAAGAUUGUAACUGUGCUGCAUAUCAUCUCGCUUUCUCAGACCGAUGACACAGAAAUUAAGGAUUCUGAAGUAUGUCAAGAGCACUUCGAUAAAAACUUUGUAUAAUACUUUCAGUGAUCUUGUUCAAGUUUCUUUGUUUCUUCUAAUUUUAACAUUAAAUUUACAUUAACUAGAAAAUAAAUUUUGUUCUUUACAAAGAAAUGAGUGUUUCAUUUUGCAAUAUAUCAAGUUAAAUAUCUAAUUAUUACUUAUUAAAAUAGUUACCAAUGUUUUACUUCUCUGAGCACAAUAUUUUCAUGCUUUAGUAAAAAAUUUUGUUUCCAAGUAAACGUUUAUUUU